GAAUACCAAAAAGAUAUAUAAAGCUAGGAGACAAAAUAAAAUAAUGGAUGAGGAGGUGUCAUCACAUGUUGAACAAAAGAGGUGGCAAUGGCAUAUCCCAUGGAAGAUGCUAUAUUUUGCAACCUCUAUUUCACUUUUCCAUUAUUUUUUUUCCUCCUAUAACCAAAAAGUGAACACACACCUACUUAAAUCACUUCACCUUCAAACAACCCAUACAAGUUUCAUUAGCAAACCCUCUUAAAAACUGCACCAUACAGCAUAGGGGCACCCCUGCCAGUGGCUCCAAACCAAAGCUGCAGGGGUGCCCAGCAUCGUCUCAAAUUUUGGUUAGAGUUGGUGUAGUAGCUAUUUUAACUGAAUCGCCUUAGUAAUCAUAAGGCCGGUUUUCUCCAGAAGGGCAACUUCGAUCCUUUGGCAUUUUCAGUGCUUAUUCCUCCGGAUCUCUCUUUGCUGCAGCCUGCUUCUGCAUGUGAUUUGAGGGCCAGGAAUUUAUCUCAAGGGUGAAUCGUAAUAUGUUUAAUUUUCUAUUUGUUCCUUUUUACUUUUGAAUUUGAGUAUUAUGUGUUUAGUAUUCUGUCAGUUGUUUUACCAAAUAUGUAGGCCUUUGGGUUUUAGACACUAGUGUUCGAAAUUGCCAUCCAGUUUGUGUGUUAUCUUUGAGCAUGCGUUUUACUUCAUUUGCUUGAAUAAAGAAGGUCAGUCUUCAUUGUCAUGGAUCAACAAUCUCAGCUACCCUAGCAUCAUCUCCCAAGGAGACUGGCAAAAUAGGUCUAAACAACAUAGGCCUAAGAAUCCAGUUAUCCUGGUAACAUCCUGCCCAAACCCCACACUUCAUAAAAUCUAUACUGUAACAGCUCAGGCCUCCAAAGUAUACUCCGCUAAACAAAAGAUUGAUUAUUGCCCAUGCCCGUAUCAAGAAAGGAACAACGACAAAAUUACCUAGCCCGUAACACUUGCAACAAGUGACUAAGUAUAAGUAAGUAAAUGCCACCCCUGUUUAGCCAACAACGCCUGAUUACAAACCCCAGAUCCCAAAAAUCGAAUCUUCCAUCCGUUUUAGACCAACUCAAAUUAUGUCGUGGCUUUAGACCCCCACCAAAAAGCAGUGAAACGACACUUAAUAUCUCUAUAAAAGCUCGAUGGAAAACAAAAGACACUCAUAGCGUAGGAAGGAAUUGCUUAAGCAACAGCCUUUAGCAACACCUCUUUCCUACACAUGAGAAUAUCUUCUCAUGCCACUCAUUGAGUUUAUGUAGAACCCGAAACUUUAGCUCAUGGAAAAAAAAAAGAAAAAACUUGCGUUGCCUAACUCCUAAUGGCCGUAAACCCAAACGCUUAUCAUAAGUUAAUACCAUAAAAAACCAAACACCUGAAUGAUUACCCAAUGCACCCCAGGCUUCACUUUUGGACUAGAUAACAAAGAGGACUUAUCAUAAUUAAAUCAUUGCCCAGAAGCUAUUGUGUAAGAGUCAAAAAUAUAUUUCAAAUAAGUCAAAUAGCCCAAUAUCGCCCGACAAAAGAAGAGGCUGUCAUCUGCAAGUAACAAAUGAGGAACCAUUAGAUCAGAUGCAAAUCGAACCCUACAAAUGUGUUGAGAAACCUCAACUACAGAUAACAUAGCAAAAAAACCUCAAAACAAAGAAUGAAUAAAUAAAGAGAAAGCGGACAGCCUUGUCUAAUACCGCGUUUAGGAUAAACCCAACCGUGAACAGUAUCGUUAGUUAAAAAAGAGAGAGAGUUGGAGUUGUAACACAAGCCAAAACAAGUUUCACCCAUCUGGCAGAAAAAUCCAAUUUCAAAGCCAGUAGUCUAGACUUUGACCCUUUGCAAAAAUUCAGCCUAUGUAAACAUUCAUGCCUGACAAUAACAUUGUCAAUAAUUAGACAAUCUGAAAUGAAAGCAGUUUGGUUAAUAGAAAUAAUAGCAUCAAAGAUUCAACUUCAAUCUAUUUGCCAGCACCUUCGCAAUAACCCGAUAAACAACAUUACACAAACUAAUAAGGCGAAUUUCAGAUAUUUUCUUCGGAUUUUUCACCCUUAGAAAACAAAGUUACCAUGGUAUGAUUUAAAUUAGAAAUGCUAAUUCCCUUAUUUAAAACUGCUAAACAAGUAUUUACAAGUUAUGUACCAACAACAUACCAAUGAUCCUGAAAGAAAGUAGGAGAGAGAUCAUCCGGCACACGAGCGUUAGUGGGAUACAUCUAUAUAAGGGCGCAUUUCACCUCAUCAAUUGUAAAUUCAGCCACUAGGUCCAUAUUCAUCUCGGCAGUCACUUUAUGUUGCAAAUAAGACAGAACAUCCUCGAAUUGCACAGAACUUAGACAAAAAGAAGAAAAUAAUUCUAAGAAGUAAUCACCAACAUUUUUUAUAAUACUGUUGGUAGAAACUAUCCAAUUUCUCAACAUCCAACAAACCCAUGAACCUAUUCUUUCCCUAAUAAACAAAAGCAUAAGAAAGGAAAAAACAUGUGUUUUUAUCACCCUCCACUAGCCAUGAAACAUAGGCAUAUUAUUCCUAAUAUUAAUCUUUCUCAUGCAGAAGCCCAUCAAUUUCAGCCUCUAAGCAAUUGUUAGAGUGCAAUUUAUGCACUAGUUUAGCGUUGUUUACUUCAUUUAAUAUCGAUGUUUUGUACUUAAUAAUAGUGAUUUACUUGUAUUUUAUUUUUGUAUAUGCAAUUUUAUUAAUUGGUGCUAAAAUUGAGCUACAAAAUUAUGUUUGAGAAUGAUUGUUUUCUUAGAAAAAUUAUGAGUGUCAGAAGAACUUUAUUGAUAAGGCGUGGGCGCCUGCUGUCAAUUACGGACCUGCAGUUUUUAGUUUAACAUGUUUUGUAUUUUUUGUUAUUUUUGUAAUUACGAAUUUAAUAUUUUAGAUAUUAGUAUUUAAUUUUAAAAAGAACUCUAGAGGAGAAGAGAGAGAAGAGUAUUUAAGGGAGAAAUCUAUUGUGAAAAGGUGGGAUUUUUGAAGAAGAAAGAAACCCUAUAUCUAAAUUUUUCUCUUCUCUCUAUGAAUAACUAAACCUAUUAUUCUGGUUGAAGGUUAAUGAAGCUUUGAUUCAUCAGUACUGUGAGAUCUUUCUUAUACUUUAAUUGUUUUAUUGCUUUUUGGGUAUUUGUUUAUUCUCUGAAUUAUUGUCAUGAUUAUGUUUGUUAAUUAGAUAAUUGGCCACUAUUAAAUUAUCAACUUAAUCUAUUGUCAAUUAAAAAAUUCAUCGUAUGAAGAUUUUAAUGUUUGUGACAAAUAGCAUAGCAGUGCGUUGUGUUAUGAGAAUAAACAAUCUAAUUUAAAUGAACCAUCAUAUGCGUUUGUUGAUUAGGAUUUGGGUCUCUCUGAUUUUUCAGGCUGUCAAUUGAUUAAAUCCUAUGAUCGUAUUUAGGGUUUUCUAUUGAUUAGGAAAAUAACCAACGGUCGUACCUUGGUUAUCGACUAGUUAAGGAGAGAUUGGCGAUUAGAGGGUCUCAGUAGCUACAAUCGGUCUAUUCAUAAGUAGUAAUGAUUUAUAUUUGAAUCAAUGAUCAGUAGUCGAAUCAAGCUAAGUUAAUUCCUUCAACGAGAGCUUUCCCCAAUUUGAAUUACAAUUUUAAUUUGCAUUCUUGUUAUUUUAAUUUGAUUUUUAUUAUUGUCAACAACCCCAUUUUGUAUUUUACAUUUUAAAAGGAUUUAAAUAAUUACCGAUCUCUGUGGACAUGACCCUGCUCAAUCACUAUACACAAUUUAUUUAGAGUAUGUGUUUAUUUUUGCUGGCUUCGACAACCAACAAAUUUUGGCGCCGUUGCCGGGGAUUGGUGUCGUUUAUUUAAUUAUUUUUACGUUUUACUUGGUGUAUAGUUCAUUCUUCUCGUACAUGUACACUUUCGUUUGAUCCUGAAAUUGAGAAGACAACUCGCUAGCUGAGACAGCAGACGAAGCGAGCUAAGCAACGAUCCUCGUCGCCUUUGCUUUCUGAAACAGAUACGGUGCCUGAUUUGGUUGAAUCAUCUAGCGAUUCAGAAGAACAAGUGAUGGAUAGAGCUGCACCUGUAGAAAGAACUCUUAGAGAGUUAGCUGAACCAGACUUGAAUCAGCAACCACUCUGCAUUCAAUAUGUAGACUUGGAGGUAAAUUUUGAAUUAAAGUCUGGUCUUAUUCAUUUGUUACCCAAGUUUCAUAGUUUUACAGGUGAAGAUCCUCAUAAAUAUCUCAAGGAGUUUCAUGUUGUAUGUUCAAGUAUGAGGCCACAAGGCAUGACUGAAGAGCAGAUUAAGCUGCGUGCUUUUUCGUUCUCUGUAGAUGGGCUAGCUAAAGACUGGUUGUACUACCCUUUCUCUUUAGAUGGACUAGCUAAAGACUGGGUGUACUACUUGCCUACUGGAUCGAUUACAACGUGGAAUAGUUUGAAGAAGCAGUUCCUUGAGAAGUACUUUCCUGCUUCAAGAGCUGCCAACAUCAGAAAAGACAUUUGUGGGAUCAGACAACUUCAUGGGGAGACUUUGUAUAAGUAUUGGGAGCGAUUCAAACAAUUAUAUGCCAGUUGUCCUCAGCAUCAGAUUUAUGAUCAACUUCUUAUUCAAUAUUUUUAUGAGGGAUUGUCAUUGAUGGAUAUGAGUAUGAUAGAUACUACUAGUGGAGGUGUGUUGGUGAACAAGACCCCUACUCAAGCAAGGGAGUUGAUCUCAAAUAUGGCUGUCAAUGCACAACAAUUUGGCAGCAGGCAAGAUCCCACUUCAAGGAAGGUGAAUGAGGUAAAUAUUUCUUCUGUUGAACAACGUUUAGAUAAACUUACUUCUCUUGUGGAAAAGUUUGUUGUAAGUAAUAUGCAACAGGUAAAGACUUGUGGCAUUUGUUCCAAUAUGGGUCAUUCAACUGAUAUGUGUCCUACACUUCAAGAAAAACGCGUUGAACAAGCCAAUGCAGUUGGAGGAUUUCCAGGCAUGCCUCAAAGGAGGUAUAAUUCUUAUGAGCAAACAUACAAUUUGGGAUGGAAGGAUCAUCCCAACUUCAACUAUGGAGUUAGGCCAUCAGGAUUACACAACAAUACCAACCAAGACAACCAGAGCCGUCUAGAGUCUCAAGUAUCAGGGAGAUUGUUGGUUGACCAACAAAUUUUGAGACAGAAGCCCAUCAAUUUCAGCCUCUAAGCAAUACACACGGUUACCAUCUGUAUAAUGCUCUCCCCCAAUCUGCAAAUCCCGCAACUCAAAUAUUUUGCAUCCUCCUACUUAUGCCAACCCUUAAACUCACGACUAUUCCACUGAGAGAGAGUUGCAACUGUUGAACGAACCCUCUGCUGAAAAAUAUCAACCUGAUCCACCUCUUCGAAACCAUGGUCUCGUCAAAAAUGAAAAAAUAAUCUCGCAGCAUUGGUCAUACUCCUUCUAAAAAGCUUUAUAUUGAAAAUGGCACUUACACGAAAAAAAAAAAAAAAAAUCAUUAGCAUAACCUACCGAAUUUUUAAAGGAUAUCAAAACAGAACUAUGAUUAGAAUCCCAACCAAUGAAAUGAGUGACUACAUUGAAAAAACCCAAGGCUUAUCAACGAAAAUUGCAUAGAAGACGGUCCAAACAUUCCUUCACCAAAUGCCUACCUAUCUAUUGAUUGUUCCAAGUAUACGGAAAUCCAAAAAAAACCAAUAUCCAGCAGUUCAUAAUCCCAAAAAACAAACUGGAAAUUGGUCAUCAUUUCCAAAUUCCUAGGCAACCCAUCAAGUUUUUCUAAUGGUUUCAAAGUCUCAUUAAAAUCACCCCUAAUCAUCCACAACAAAGAAAACGAAUAAUGCAAUCUAUAUAAUAGGUCCCACAUAUGAAUUUUCAUGAGAGCUUCUGUGUGCCCAUAAAUUCCAAUAAAACGUCACAAGAAAUCAUCAUUCAUCCGAAUAGCGGCAUCAAUAUGGUGCAAAUUGUAUAUAUGCACAAAAACAUUAAUCUCUCACUACCAGAGCAAAGAUAAACACCCUGACGUCUGUGAUGAUCAACAGGCAAAUAAUUAUCAAACCCUAAACAUGAACACCUGUGUUUGCAUCUCAGAUAUAGCCAAUUUUGUUUCACACAAGAAUAUAAUUUGUGGCAUACCUCAUACAAAAUUUUUUUAAAGUACACAAAAUGUCUCAACCAGACCUUGAAUAUUCCAGUAUAAGACAUUCAUUGCAACCGACGGGGCUGAGACUCAACACCUACUGAUAAUUGUGAAGAAACAUUAGCAAAAGCCAAUGAAUCACCAUUAAUUACCCCAUGGGCAUAAUCCUCAUAUGCCAAUCGUACCCAUUUUCCAUAGCCAUUCCCAUCCUCAACCUCCUCGUCAAUGAGCCUUUUUGAUGCCACAGCCAAGGGAAUAUAAACUAGGGUAGAACUCCCCCCCCCCCCCCUCUCCAAACACUUACAUUGCUUCUAUUUAGCUUUAUCAUCCACAGACUUGCUGAGUUUUUCCACCAUCUCUAAAUAUUCAUGUUGAUCUUUAUUAGUACUGCCUAAUGUCACAAACCACUCAAAUUUGCCACCAAUGAAGGUUAAAUUUGUGCGCACAAGUACACUCAGUAAAAGUCCAUCUAGAAGUGGAGUGCAUUUAGUAACAUAGUGUGCUCAACACUAAAGGAAGGAUGCAUUUAGAAAUGAGAUAUGCUCAACAUUGGGUCGCCUCACAUAACUAACCAAUCGUGGUAGCUUAGCGAUCAACCAAGCCAAGCCCGAAUUUUAGACUUUUCUACAAUUGUAAAUAACUUAAAAGUUUCUACAUUUUUGCAUUUAAUUCCUAGCUAGAUAUUUAGGCAACUUGCAUUCACUUGAUAGGAAGCUUCAUGAGCUAGCACCAAUACUAUAAAUAGAGGCGAGCACCCCUCGUUUACUCACCACACCAAGCACAUUUCAUUACACAUACACAACACACACAAGCUCUCAAGCUCUCUUGUAUUUUCUCAUUUGUGAGUAAUAAAAUUAUAUUUGGCCAUAUUGCUCUCUCUUCUCUCUAGCAUUGUCACAAGCAGCCUUGCU
rnacentral:lncRNA from 1 species